GUUAAAAGAGUUACAUUUAUGGCAUUCUUGGCGGAUGAGCAUGAUGUUCAUGGUCAGGCCCUCCAGGUGAAACUCUAUCAGAGUCAGCUUUCAAAGCAAAAACCUGGCGAUAAUGCUCCAACUUGUUACGAUCAUAGCCUAAUUCACGUAAAAGAAGGCGGCUGCUAAUUUUCUUCUGCACCAGGGAUUGAGCUUGAGAAGAACUCAUCAAAAGGACCACGAAGAAGGCAGCCAAGAAAGAUAACCUAGCCAUCGUAAGUGAGGAGGAAGUAG
rnacentral:lncRNA from 1 species